AGACUUUUCUCGGUCUUUCGGCUAAGAACAAGUGUAGUAUCUGUUCUUAUCAGUUUAAUAUCUGAUAUGUGGCCAUCGGGUCACACGAUAUUGAAUUAAUUUAUUGAGGGGGAAGGCCCACUACAGUAGCUUAGCUGCUGGGUCUUCGAGCGUCGUCCAUAAAUAAUUACAAAAAUGCCAUUGACAAGCAAAAAUU